CAGAGGGAUUUAGAGCAGGCGUUAAGCUUGAAGCUCUGAAGUCUGCUGUGAGAAUGAAAUGAGAUAGCAAAGCUGUGCCUGAAGUCAUGUCUACCCUUUGGACUUUCUCUUCAAUUUAAGUCAUUUUGAGUAGUGUUUCUGCCUCUUGGAAUCUAAAGGAUCCACAUGAAUGUAAUGAAGUUAUGUGCCAGGUGCUAUGAGGCGAUGAGAAGGAAGAAGAGUAUGUACCACUGUCUUCCUGGAGGAAGUGACACAGGACCUGAGUCUUGAAAGCCCAGUAGGACUUAGCCAGCUCAAGGGAUUCUGAGCAGAGUGAGCCACAUAAGAAAUUACGUAGGAGCAUGACAGUUUGUGCCGUGUUUUGGAGAUCAAUGCAGUUCAUUGUUAUUGGAGUGAGGUUGGCAGUAGUGGAACAUUAGGUGGAUGAAUAAAUGUCACUAUCUCCGUCCCCAA
rnacentral:lncRNA from 10 species